rnacentral:misc_RNA from 1 species
ACAUCUCAACUCUCGUGGCUUGCCAUGAUGAGCUUGGACUUUGGGGGUCUUGCUGGCCUGUGGUCGGCUCCUCUCAAAUGGAUCAGCUUACCAGUGUUUGGUGGCAUCACAGGUGUGAUAACUAUCUGCGCUUGUGGUUUUCCAUCAGAUAACCUUCAGUGAUGGAGGUUCGCUGGAGCUUAUAAAUGUCUCUCCUAAGUGGGGACAGCUCUUUGAAC